UACGAAGGGGGCUAGCGUUGCUCGGAAUCACUGGGCGUAAAGGGUGCGUAGGCGGACAUUUAAGUCAGGGGUGAAAUCCCAGAGCUCAACUCUGGAACUGCCUUUGAUACUGGGUGUCUCGAGUCCGGAAGAGGUGAGUGGAAUUCCGAGUGUAGAGGUGAAAUUCGUAGAUAUUCGGAGGAACACCAGUGGCGAAGGCGGCUCACUGGUCCGGUACUGACGCUGAGGUGCGAAAGCGUGGGGAGCAAACAGGG
rnacentral:rRNA from 1 species